UGAUAAUAAAAUAUUUUAUGAAUUUCAGAUAAAGCUCAGACAAUUGAAGUAAAUAAAAGAGAAAAGGAAAAGAAGGACAGAACAAAGAUUGAAUUUGUGGUUGGUACAAAGAAACCCUCCUCAGAUGGACCAUCAGAUGAAAAGAAGAGAAAGAGUAAAUGGGAUGCUCAACCCAGCGUCAUCAACAUACCAGGAAUGAUCAAUCCAGCUGUGAUUAAUCUAACUGCUACUGGGACCAAAUCAACAGUCAUCCCCGCCCACGGCAGUAUUACCAAGAAGUCGUCAAAGUGACCCCUUAUACAAAGUCAGUCAUCAGUUUCUGGAUGUGAAAGAUUACUGUGAUCUUUUAUAACAAGUUUAUGGUCAGCAGUUCAUUCUAUAUUUGAAUUAUUCAAACUGACCACCGUCAGCCAUUUCUGAUUUUGGUUAAAAUCAGAUUGGAAAAAAUGUUAGUGAAGGGGCAAUGUAACAGAAACAGCUUUUGAUGACAAUAACUGGUUGAAGAGGACAAUGAAAUAUUUCAGGAUCAAGCAAUAUUACACAGACUUUUGAUCGUAAAAUGCAAUGAUACUGAUGUGAUGUUCUAAAAAAUAAUUGGAUGAUUGACAAGUGCAAUGUGUUAAGCAGAUAUUUUCACAUUAUGACAGAUAGAAUAUUUCUAUGUGUGUGUGCCACUCAGCCUUAUGGCUAGUAGUUAUUGCUGGUGUGCCAUUCUUAACUCAUAGCCAGUGUGUACUGGUGUGCCACUCAGCCUUCUGACCAGUAACUCUGUGCUGGGGUGCCACUUUGCCUUCUGGCUAGUAUCUCAGUGCUGGUGUGCCACUUUGCCUUCUGGCUAGUCAGUGCUGGUGUGCCACUCUGCCUUUUGGCCAGUAACUCCAUGCUGGUGUGCCACUCUGCCUUCUGGCCAGUAACUCAAUGCUGGUGUGCCACUCUGCUUUCUGGCCAGUAACUCUAUGCUGCUAACAUGUUUUCAGAUAGUCAAACAAUCAAAGAACUGAACAAGCAUACACUAGUGUUGUUACUGUGACAACAGCAAUUUAACCAUGAUAAGUGAUACUAUUAAGUGUGUCAAUGCUAGGUCAGUAGCAUAUUAUGAUAAAGGAUUGUCUCACAUCUAUUAUCUGGUCAAUCUGUGCAACCUUGAAAUAUGUUAGGUCCUAAACACAAAAAAUGACCAAAUUAUCAAUGCCUACCAAUUUACUUAAAAGUCACAUUAUAUUUUGUUUUCUUUACCAAAGAGGUCAUAGGUUCAUGGUUCUGUCAAGUUUUUUAGACAAACUUUUAUCACCUGCAGAAUGGCUUGUACCAAGAGCCUUCAAUUUUGUCAAGCCAUAAUCCAAACAUACAGAGAAGCUGGGUAAAUGAAAGUAGAACCUUUGGAUAUUGAGGCUGUAAUCAGAUGUUUUGAAAAAUGUAGUGUUGACAAGUGAAAUUUUUUUUUUUUGAGACUUGUAUAAUUCAGUUUCAUGUAAAUGUCAGUAUGGACUAUCCUGUUGAUGAGAUAACUUUAUUACAUACACACAUAUCAUACUGUUUCAUUGUAUUACAUACACAAAUAUCAUACUGUUUCAUUGUAUUACAUACACAAAUAUCAUACUGUUUCAUUGUAUUACAUACACAAAUAUCAUACUGUUUCAUUGUAUUACAUACACACAUAUCAUACUGUUUCAUUGUAUUACAUACACAAAUAUCAUACUGUUUCAUUGUAUUACAUACACAAAUAUCAUACUGUUUCAUUGUAUUACAUACACAAAUAUCAUACUAUUUCAUUGUAUUACAUACACACAUAUCAUACUAUUUCAUUGUAUUACAUAUACACAUGUCAUACUAUUUCAUUGUAUUUAGAUUCAUUGCUUGUUGAUAUCAUGCUUGUACACAUGUUAAAAAUCCAUCCUUUUAUCUUACCUGCUGGUCACCACUUUUGUGGAACUUCCACAUCUGUUAACUUUGUAUUUCUACAUCCUUUUAAUAUGGUAACAGAUUAAAUGAUGACCUAGUAUUUUCAUUGGCAUCUCCUAUAGCAUAGCAUCAUGGUAAUGGUAUGGCUUCAGGAAAAAUGCCGAUCAGUUUUACUAAAUAAACUAGAUAUUACAAGGUAUAUGUUGUGUAUACACUGCUGGAAUAUUAGGUGUAGACUGAAGUAAGGUUGCUUUUCUGUAUGUUUAAAUUUCUUAAGAUAGAAUCUCUUCAUGACAACAUGUGUCAAGAUUUCAUGAAGUGUUGUUGGUAAAAUCAUUGGACUUUUUUCUGACUAUGUUUCCUUUAUGCCCUUUUUGCAUUUUUUCACAAAUUGUUAAACAGCUGAAGUUUAUUCCUUUUGUGAGAGCUUAAGCUGCAAUCAUUACAUAUGUAGGGCACACUUAGAUUGCUGUUUACAAUGGCUCCACUUCAGAUAAACACUAUAGCAACAAGUAUAUGUGUAGAAGAGGGCAGGUCACCUUGCUAGCUUCAGCUAGUGGGAAUUUCCCUGACUGAGAGUAUUUGGCUGGAGACCCAAGAGUCGCUAGUUUGAACCCCACUAGGGAUAGGGCAUUUUUCAUUACUCUUCUCCUAUCAUACAUGACUUCCACUUGAGUAAACACAGCUUACUGGUGAGGAUAUCUAUGAUUAAUGUACCUUAGGGGAAUGAUAGUUUUCAAAUUGUAUUAAGAGAAUAAGAUAAAAGACUUAACAAGUUGAAUUCAAAAAUUUUGAAUACCACACAAAAAAAAUGAUUUUCAAUAUACUGCAUUUAGUCAUUACAGGUGCCAAUGUCUACCUAUGAAUGGAUUGUAAUGUGCUACCUUAUUUGAUUGAUAAUUGUAGGGUAAGAAAAUGUUUUGUAAUCUAUCAAUAAUCUGGACACAUCCUUGUGAUGUAUCGCAGAUGAAAACAAUACCUGGUUUAUAUGUGUCUGAGGGUCUGAGUGUGUGUAACUAUGAUCAGUAUAACAUUUUACUGUAAUGCUUUGCUAGACAGCAGGCAAGUUCAAAAUAGUAAAAUAUGAAUAUAGUUUUUUUAGAAAAAAAGAUUGUGUGUUUUCAUUUGUUUUACAUUCCAAGUCAAGCCUGCUCACAGCAGUAUUGGUAAAUAAAGUUUGGAUAGAAUGUAUAGCCAUACAA